AUGGCUCAGGACGAACGCUGGCGGCGUGCUUCAUACAUGCAAGUCGAACGAGAAUCUGACUUCGGUCAGAGGAAAGUGGCGGACGGGUGAGUAAAAAUGUAGAGAAUCUGCCCCAGAGCGUGGGACAACAGUUGGAAACGACUGCUAAUACCGCAUAUGCGCGUAGCUGAGAUGCUAUUCGUGAAAACUCCGGUGCUCUGGGAUGAGUCUGCAUCUGAUUAGCUAGUUGGUGGUGUAAUGGACUACCAAGGCGACGAUCAGUAGCUGGUUUGAGAGGAUGAUCAGCCACAAUGGGACUGAGACACGGCCCAUACUCCUACGGGAGGCAGCAGUAGGGAAUUUUGCGCAAUGGGCGAAAGCCUGACGCAAGCAACGCCGCGUGAUUGAAUAAGCCCUUCGGGGUGUAAAGAUCUGUCAGUAGGGACGAAACUUGACGGUACCUACAGAGGAAGCAUCGGCUAACUCCGUGCCAGCAGCCGC
rnacentral:rRNA from 1 species